GAGGAAUGUAUAGCAAUAGCUACUUGCAUCAGUGUAAAUAUGAUGCAAGCUCGACUAUGUUGAAUAAAAUUCUAGGUAGAAUUAUGAUAAUGACAUUGUCUGCCUAUGUGUCUUGACCAAAUUACGUGCCAGCAGUCGCGGUAAUACGUAGAAGACUAGUGUUAUUCAUGUUUAAUCGGUUUAAAGGGUACCUAGACGGUGAAUCAAGCUUCCAUGUAAAUAAUAAAUAUUGAUAUAUUAAAAGGACUAAUUUACUAGAGUUACUUACGAGGGGGUUUUAAAGUACUGCUGGUGUAGAGAUGAAAUUCUAUCAUACCUCUUUUCGAAAGAAGAAUCAUGGCACAGGUAUAGGCGAAGGCAUCCCCUUAUGUGAUAACUGACGUUGAGGGACGAAGGCUUUGUGUAACAAACAGGAUUAGAUACCCUAGUAGUUGAAGCAGAAAAUGAUGAAUGUCAUAGAUUAGAUAUAUAAGUUUAUUCUAUAAAUGAAAGUGUAAGCAUUCCACCUCAUGAGUAAUUUGGCAACAUUGGAAUUGAAAUCAUUAGACCGUUUCUGAAACCAGUAGUGAAGUAUGUUGUUUAAUUUGAUAAUCCGCAAAAAACCUUACCACAAUUUGAAUAUUUAUAUUUUUUAUUGUUUUCAUAUUAAUUUACUUCUUUUUUUUAUUUUUAAAGUGUUUUAUUAUUAAAAAAAAAGCAAUAUAAUCUAGAGGCAAUAAGAUAUAUUUACAAGCGUUGCACGGCUGUCUUCAGUUAAUGUCGCGAGACUUUGGUUAGUUCCAUUAAAUUAACGUAAACCCUUACUUUAUUUUUUAUAUAGAGUAGUUCUCCACUAUAUUGGAUAUGAU
rnacentral:rRNA from 1 species